rnacentral:rRNA from 1 species
UACGUAGGGUGCGAGCGUUAAUCGGAAUUACUGGGCGUAAAGUGUGCGCAGGCGGCGUUGCAAGUCGAGUGUGAAAUCCCCGAGCUCAACUCGGGAACUGCGUCCGAUACUGGCAGGCUUGAAUCCGGGAGAGGGAUGCGGAAUUCCAGGUGUAGCGGUGAAAUGCGUAGAUAUCUGGAGGAACACCGGUGGCGAAGGCGGCAUCCUGGACCGGCAUUGACGCUGAGGCGCGAAAGCCAGGGGAGCAAACGGG